CAAUAGCGUAUAUUAAAGUUGUUGCGGUUAAAAGCUCGUAGUUGGAUUUCUGUUGAGGUCGACCGGUGCGCACUCCGUGUGUUAUUUGGUUCGGUCUCGGCAUCCUCGUGGGGAACGUUUCUGGACUUUAUUGGACAGGGCGAGAUUCACGACUUUUACUUUGAGGAAAUUAGAGUGUUUAAAGCAGGCUUAAGCCGUUGAAUACAUUAGCAUGGAAUAAUAAGAUAAGACUUGGGUCAUUAUUUUGUUGGUUUGCGGAUCGAGGUAAUGAUUAAUAGGGAUAGUUGGGGGGUAUUCAUAUUUAAUUGUCAGAGGUGAAAUUCUUGGAUUUAUGAAAGAUGAACUUAGGCGAAAGCAUUUACCAAGGAUGUUUUCAUUAAUCAAGAACGAAAGUUAGGGGAUCGAAGACGAUUAGAUACC
rnacentral:rRNA from 1 species